rnacentral:lncRNA from 1 species
CUAUUACUAUUUGCUAGAAACCUCUUAUGUGCCAAUACUACCCUAGAUAUUUUGCUUUCUUGAUUUGCUUUAUUCCUUCAAAAAAACCCUAUAAAGUUGAUCCUACUUUAUUCCAUUUUACAAAGCUAAAAUCUGAGAUUCAGAAAGCUUAAAUAACUUUGAGUCCAAGGUUGCACAGAUAAUAAAUGUUGGAACUUGGAUCUGAUAAUAGACUUGUAUAACUCCAAAGUCCAAUCUCUUAAUCACUCUACUACAUUGACUUCUUACUCAAUUCCCAUACAUAACUACAUAUUGAUACUUGAUAAUUUUUAUCAUUGAAAUGUCUCUCAAAUAAGUUAUUUCCUUUUUCUUUGCAUUGUACACUCAUAUAUAUAUAUAAAUAUGUAUAUAUGGGUGUUGUUUAUUCCUAAAUUGCAAAUGUAAUGUACAUUGUAAGAAAGUGCAUUACAGACCUAGAUAAUAAAAGUGCCUAAACCCCCAAUUCUUCUUUUUUAUGCACUAGGGAUUUAUCCCAGGGGUACUGUACCGCUGAGUUCAUCCCCAGUCCUUAUUUAUUUAUUUAUUAGACAAGUCUUGCUAAGUUGCUAAGACUGGUCUUGAGCUUGAUAUCCUCCUGACUCAGCCUCACAAGUCAGUGGGACUAAUUAUAGUCAUGAAUCCACCAUGCCAGCUAGUGGAUUAUACCUUUAAAAAUGGAACCACAUUAUCUUGAAAAAUUUUAAAAUUUAUCAACAC